GCUGUUAUAGCUCAAUGGUAGAGCAGCCGCCUUGUAAGCGGCAGGUUACUGGUUCAAGUCCAGUUGGCAGCCCCA
rnacentral:tRNA from 1 species